CGCAACCCUUAUCAUUAGUUGCUACGCAAGGGCACUCUAAUGAGACUGCCGGUAGACAAACCGGAGGAAGUGGGGAUGACGUCAAGUCCUCAUGGCCCUUAUGGGUAGGGCUUCACACGUCAUACAAUGGUCGGUACAGAGGGUUGCCAAGCCGCGAGGCGGAGCCAAUCCCACAAAGACCGAUCGUAGUCCGGAUUGUUCUCUGCAACUCGAGAGCAUGAAGUCGGAAUCGCUAGUAAUCGCAGGUCAGCAUACUGCGGUGAAUACGUUCCCGGGUCUU
rnacentral:rRNA from 1 species